rnacentral:rRNA from 1 species
GGCCUAACACAUGCAAGUCGAGCGGUAACAGGGGUAGCUUGCUACCCGCUGACGAGCGGCGGACGGGUGAGUAAUGCAUAGGAAUCUGCCCGGUAGUGGGGGAUAACCUGGGGAAACCCAGGCUAAUACCGCAUACGUCCUACGGGAGAAAGGGGGCUCCGGCUCCCGCUAUUGGAUGAGCCUAUGUCGGAUUAGCUAGUUGGUGAGGUAAUGGCUCACCAAGGCAACGAUCCGUAGCUGGUCUGAGAGGAUGAUCAGCCACAUCGGGACUGAGACACGGCCCGAACUCCUACGGGAGGCAGCAGUGGGGAAUAUUGGACAAUGGGGGCAACCCUGAUCCAGCCAUGCCGCGUGUGUGAAGAAGGCCCUCGGGUUGUAAAGCACUUUCAGCGAGGAAGAACGCCUAGUGGUUAAUACCCAUUAGGAAAGACAUCACUCGCAGAAGAAGCACCGGCUAACUCCGUGCCAGCAGCCGCGGUAAUACGGAGGGUGCAAGCGUUAAUCGGAAUUACUGGGCGUAAAGCGCGCGUAGGUGGCUUGAUAAGCCGGUUGUGAAAGCCCCGGGCUCAACCUGGGAACGGCAUCCGGAACUGUCAGGCUAGAGUGCAGGAGAGGAAGGUAGAAUUCCCGGUGUAGCGGUGAAAUGCGUAGAGAUCGGGAGGAAUACCAGUGGCGAAGGCGGCCUUCUGGACUGACACUGACACUGAGGUGCGAAAGCGUGGGUAGCAAACAGGAUUAGAUACCCUGGUAGUCCACGCCGUAAACGAUGUCGACCAGCCGUUGGGUGCCUAGAGCACUUUGUGGCGAAGUUAACGCGAUAAGUCGACCGCCUGGGGAGUACGGCCGCAAGGUUAAAACUCAAAUGAAUUGACGGGGGCCCGCACAAGCGGUGGAGCAUGUGGUUUAAUUCGAUGCAACGCGAAGAACCUUACCUACCCUUGACAUCUACAGAAGCCGGAAGAGAUUCUGGUGUGCCUUCGGGAACUGUAAGACAGGUGCUGCAUGGCUGUCGUCAGCUCGUGUUGUGAAAUGUUGGGUUAAGUCCCGUAACGAGCGCAACCCUUGUCCUUAUUUGCCAGCGAGUAAUGUCGGGAACUCUAAGGAGACUG